UGUUCAAUUAAGUGGAAAAUCAAAAAGUAAACAAAAACCAUGAUAAGACCGCGACGGCCUUAUAUAAAAGGAUUUCUGGGACCAGCUAUGGACUAUUGUAAUAAUUUUAUUGUAUGUAAUGGACACGUCUGAUAAAAAUUGUGAAAGAAAAGAGGUGAAAUCUAGAGUAUACAAAGUGAAGUUACGACGAUCUAAAGCGAAUGCCCGAGAGAGGAAUAGGAUGCAUGGAUUAAAUGCUGCCCUAGACAGAUUAAGAAACCGAAUGCCAAUUCAACAAACUCAUUCUGACUUAAAUUCUGCUCCACAAAAACUUUCUAAAAUCGAAACAUUACGAUUAGCAAGAAACUACAUUUUAGCUAUGUCUCAAACACUUCAGGAAGGUAGACCGAUGGAGCUGACACGGUUUAUAAAGAUUUUAAGCAGAGAUUUGAGUCAAACCACUGCAAAUCUACUAACAGGAACUUUAAUGGGAAAUGGAAGCAACCAUUUAAAUUAUCGAAGAAUUUUUUUGCCUGAGAACGAUACUGCUGCUUGCCUUUAUCAAGAUCGUUAUAGCAAUAACAAUUACAACAGCAAUAAUUAUCCACAAACUUAUAUAAACAAUAACUAUUACAAUUCAUACUGGUCUAGUUAUAGGUUGGAAUGUGAACCGAACGCGAAUAGCAGGAACAUUAACAAUAUCAGGUACUGGGAAAACAACCACGUAUUUAACGAACACUGUUUGUAUAACAUAUAUUAGCGAGGUGAAUUUAUGUACAACACUGCCGUCGUAAAAAUUAUAAAAAAGAUAAAAUUUA